rnacentral:rRNA from 1 species
GGACUACAGGGGUAUCUAAUCCUGUUUGCUCCCCGCACUUUCGCGCCUCAGCGUCAGUCAUCGGCUGGAAGCCUGCCUUCGCCAUCGGUGUUCUUCCUGAUAUCUACAGAUUUCACCCCUACACCAGGAAUUCCGGCUUCCCCUCCGUGACUCAAGCCGCGCAGUUUCCAAUGCAGUUCCCGGGUUGAGCCCGGGGUUUUCACAUCAGACUUACGCGGCCGCCUACGCGCCCUUUACGCCCAAUAAUUCCGAACAACGCUCGCCCCUUACGUGUUACCGCGGCUGCUGGCAC